rnacentral:lncRNA from 1 species
AGAGUUCUUCAAACAGCCUUUGGAUGACCGAUGGAAACUUCAGAUAGCAUAGCCACUUUUCUCUGUUCAGUAAAGCCAUUAAAUGAUAAACUAUUGAUUUUUAUAAUACAAUUAAGUUGCCAAUGUUUUCUUAAGAAAUCAUUUUACAUUUUCUGUAUUAUGCACUCAGCACAUUGUCUGUUGUAAGUCAGAUUAGGUAGUGUUCUCAGUCUGACAUGAAACUGUAUUCAUGCUACUCUCAGAAUGAAACCAUCUCCAUGUUAGUCUCAGCACUGCAGAGGAUUUCACUCUAAAUUGAACUGAUAACCUUUAUCUGUUUGAUCACGAUGUGUAUAUAUACAAUAAAAAAUUUAAGCACUGUAAUUUGCUGUUAUUGGGAUGUUCUUAAGGCAGAUAGUUUAUCAAAAAGUGUUAGUGACUUGCGUAGACAAGAAGAAAAAUUGCAAUUUCACAAAAAGCCUUAUGAUCCAGGGUUAAAAUGGACAGCCAUCUAGACUCACAGAGGAAUUUCUUCAUCUCUCCAUCACACAGAUUGUACAAUGAAGGAGAAUACCACAGAGUAUUUAUUCUGAAGUACCAUGAAGUAUUAGAAGGUGCCCACAGCACUGUAAUCCUCAUCCUCUGUGUCACUAAAGAAACAUCCUUCAGCAGUUUGAGAAAGAAGCUGAGGAUCUAAGCUGGCAGCAAGGCUUAAGUGCUCCCCACCUCUUCCCCUUGAAAUUGUCAGUAUGUAUGCUGAUGAUUUGCAGAUGCCUCGGUUGUCAUGGCUGCUACAUCUGACUGGUAUCAGUUCAUGAAUUAUACAUUUUAUGUAGUGGUGAUGUAUUAAUUUCACACUAGAGUCUGUAAAGAUAUUAUAUUUACAGAUAAAGCAUAAUUUUUCACACUUCCAGAAAUGAACAUUAAUUCUUUUCACCUCAGAUGGAAUCUGAAAGGACUUGUUGCAUUUCAUAGGAAGAAAUAUAAAUCUGGUGCCUAUUUGGAAGAUGAAGUCCAUUAAUAUACCAGUAAAGUUUUACAAUUUUUUUCAUGAUUCUAUAAUAGUGUAGGACUCUGAAAUGUGAGGUAAUUCUCCACAGAAAUACGGGGUGCUUUUACUUAAAGAAACCCUGUCCCUGAGCCCUCCACUACUCCAUACUAUCCCUUUAGAGUCAGUUCUUCCAGGUGAAAAUGAUUGCACAACUGCAAAGCAUUCUGAUAUUUUAUCAUUUGUCUCAAGUUGAGAAUGAACUGUAAUUCAUCUUGAAGUUUGAUGAGAAGGAUGCAUUCACAUAACUCUACUUCUACCACUUUACUACAUCACACUGUUUUUUUCUUUUCUUAAACAAUGAGCUGUGAGGUAACAAAAGUGAUGUACAUAUUAAAUAGCACAUGAUGAUAGCAUAUGACACAUUUCUGGCACUUGCAAUGUUCCUUAUAUGCCACCAGUCAUAUAAUCUGACUGUAUAAAUGAGUGCUGGUUAAAUGGCUUCCCCAGUGUAAUGCAUCUUUAAAUCCUAGAGAUUUUGAAUGCCACUUUUAGGCAGCUCUGCUCCCCAGGGUAAUAAGUAGCACUGAGUUGCAACUAGCUAGUAUGGCUAAUCAAAUAUUAACAGGAUUGAUUUGAGGUUAUUUUGGUAAGAAUAAGCAUUGAGUUUGAUUUGUAUUAAAUCUGGGGACAUAAAAUUCCCAAUGUGUGCACUCUGAACAGCUCCCAGAAGUCUAUGAAUCCCCACACUAAUUGCAAAU